UAAAAUAAUGGUUGGCGCACCUAGUGAAUGAGUCCGGUUUUUCGACUGGGCACUGCAACUGGGCGCGCUGCUACACCUCUGUGCACUGUAAUAGUAUCGGGUUUAGGUAACGCAGUCUCUCGGGAUAGCGAAACCUAGGCCCAAAAACGGUUUCGACCGUAUAAACAACUUUUAAUUUUGACUGACUUUUGUUUCUAACGAAUCAAAAA
rnacentral:misc_RNA from 1 species